AGUGAACGCUGGCGGUAGGCCUAACACAUGCCAGUCGAACGGCAGCACAGUAAGAGCUUGCUCUUACGGGUGGCGAGUGGCGGACGGGGGAGGAAUACAUCGGAAUCUACUUUUUCGUGGGGGAUAACGUAGGGAAACUUACGCUAAUACCGCAUACGACCUACGGGUGAAAGCAAGGGAUCUUCGGACCUUGCGCGAUUGAAUGAGCCGAUGUCGGAUUAGCUAGUUGGCGGGGUAAAGGCCCACCAAGGCGACGAUCCGUAGCUGGUCUGAGAGGAUGAUCAGCCACACUGGAACUGAGACACGGUCCAGACUCCUACGGGAGGCAGCAGUGGGGAAUAUUGGACAAUGGGCGCAAGCCUGAUCCAGCCAUACCGCGUGGGUGAAGAAGGCCUUCGGGUUGUAAAGCCCUUUUGUUGGGAAAGAAAAGCAGCAGGUUAAUACCCCGCUGUUCUGACGGUACCCAAAGAAUAAGCACCGGCUAGCUUCGUG
rnacentral:rRNA from 1 species